UACGGGGGGAGCAAGCGUUGUUCGGAUUUACUGGGCGUAAAGGGCGCGUAGGCGGCGCAACAAGUCACUUGUGAAAUCCCCGGGCUUAACCCGGAGCGGUCAAGUGAUACUGUCGUGCUAGAGUGCGGAAGGGGCUACUGGAAUUCUCGGUGUAGCGGUGAAAUGCGUAGAUAUCGAGAGGAACACCUGCGGCGAAGGCGGGUAGCUGGGCCGACACUGACGCUGAUGCGCGAAAGCCAGGGGAGCGAACGGG
rnacentral:rRNA from 1 species